GAUGAACGCUGGCGGCGUGCCUAAUACAUGCAAGUCGAGCGAACGGACGAGAAGCUUGCUUCUCUGAUGUUAGCGGCGGACGGGUGAGUAACACGUGGAUAACCUACCUAUAAGACUGGGAUAACUUCGGGAAACCGGAGCUAAUACCGGAUAAUAUUUUGAACCGCAUGGUUCAAAAGUGAAAGACGGUCUUGCUGUCACUUAUAGAUGGAUCCGCGCUGCAUUAGCUAGUUGGUAAGGUAACGGCUUACCAAGGCAACGAUGCAUAGCCGACCUGAGAGGGUGAUCGGCCACACUGGAACUGAGACACGGUCCAGACUCCUACGGGAGGCAGCAGUAGGGAAUCUUCCGCAAUGGGCGAAAGCCUGACGGAGCAACGCCGCGUGAGUGAUGAAGGUCUUCGGAUCGUAAAACUCUGUUAUUAGGGAAGAACAUAUGUGUAAGUAACUGUGCACAUCUUGACGGUACCUAAUCAGAAAGCCACGGCUAACUACGUGCCAGCAGCCGCGGUAAUACGUAAGUGGCAAGCGUUAUCCGGAAUUAUUGGGCGUAAAGCGCGCGUAGGCGGUUUUUUAAGUCUGACGUGAAAGCCCACGGCUCAUCCGUGGAGGGUCAUUGGAAACUGGGAAACUUGAGUGCAGAAGAGGAAAGUGGAAUUCCAUGUGUAGCGGUGAAAUGCGCAGAGAUAUGGAGGAACACCAGUGGCGAAGGCGACUUUCUGGUCUGUAACUGACGCUGAUGUGCGAAAGCGUGGGGAUCAAACAGGAUUAGAUACCCUGGUAGUCCACGCCGUAAACGAUGAGUGCUAAGUGUUAGGGGGUUUCCGCCCCUUAGUGCUGCAGCUAACGCAUUAAGCACUCCGCCUGGGGAGUACGACCGCAAGGUUGAAACUCAAAGGAAUUGACGGGGACCCGCACAAGCGGUGGAGCAUGUGGUUUAAUUCGAAGCAACGCGAAGAACCUUACCAAAUCUUGACAUCCUUUGACAACUCUAGAGAUAGAGCCUUCCCCUUCGGGGGACAAAGUGACAGGUGGUGCAUGGUUGUCGUCAGCUCGUGUCGUGAGAUGUUGGGUUAAGUCCCGCAACGAGCGCAACCCUUAAGCUUAGUUGCCAUCAUUAAGUUGGGCACUCUAAGUUGACUGCCGGUGACAAACCGGAGGAAGGUGGGGAUGACGUCAAAUCAUCAUGCCCCUUAUGAUUUGGGCUACACACGUGCUACAAUGGACAAUACAAAGGGCAGCGAAACCGCGAGGUCAAGCAAAUCCCAUAAAGUUGUUCUCAGUUCGGAUUGUAGUCUGCAACUCGACUACAUGAAGCUGGAAUCGCUAGUAAUCGUAGAUCAGCAUGCUACGGUGAAUACGUUCCCGGGUCU
rnacentral:rRNA from 1 species